GCUCUUCUGUGAUGACUCGCACUGGGCUCUGAAUAAAUCUGAAGUCGACGUGCAACUCGGGCCCGACAAGCCCGAGUGUCUGACGAGGAA
rnacentral:snoRNA from 1 species